UACGAGGGGGGCGAGCGUUGUUCGGAAUUAUUGGGCGUAAAGGGUGCGUAGGCGGUUUGGUAAGUCUCGUGUGAAAUCUCCGGGCUCAACUCGGAGCCUGCACGAGAAACUGCCGGGCUUGAGUGUGGGAGAGGUGAGUGGAAUUCCUGGUGUAGCGGUGAAAUGCGUAGAUAUCAGGAGGAACACCUGUAGCGAAAGCGGCUCACUGGACCAUAACUGACGCUGAUGCACGAAAGCUAGGGGAGCAAACAGG
rnacentral:rRNA from 1 species